AUAUGAGAAAAAAUAAAGACUCUCCAUUAACAACACGUUUUUAACUGUUUAACAGGCCUUCACAUCUCUAAAACCAUAUAACAAAGGUGACAAUUUUACGAGCCAAGUUAUGCAUAGCACAUUUUAUGUUCCUAAACGACCUAAGUGAUUUUUGUAGGUCCUCAAAGGACACUAAAAAAGUAAGUGUAGCGGAGGAAAAGAGAAUUGUACGUAUUUCCAUUUCUCCAUCAAAUAGCCAUAUUUCUUUAAUAGAAAAGUCAUUCCUCACCCCCCUUCCUCCUUUUGUCCAAAACGUCCCAACGUUUCUCCUCCCUAGUCCAGACCUGUUUUGUCUGUGACGUGUCACUGUGUCGUCUGCCACGGUUCGGAGGCCACGACUCCCCAGUGUGGUUGGAGCUGGUGUCACUUGGUGGGCCACGUAUUCUCCCACCCUCAGGUGCUCCGUCCUUCCAUACAGCAAACUCCCUCCGAGACCAGAGCUCAUGGAAAAGGGAAAGAUCUGGGCCUGGAACUUGAGGAGGGAGCCGGGGAAACAGGCCUAGAGGUGGCAUGACAGAAAGCUGCUGGUCUUCCACUCUCAGGGGUCUGUUUCACCUUCCCUCCCUGAGUAAGGAGGCCGGGUUGGGGGGCGGGGGUCGUACCUGCCUCCCCAUCUGGGAUGCCCCCCUCCACCUGCAGCUCUCCAGCCAUGGCCUCAGGGAGCAGGGGCUGUCACCCUGGGCAUGUGGCCGCGUGUUUUCUCUUCUCACUGGGACUUCUCAGAGGAGUGACCAUCCCCUAAUAUUUGGAGACUCUGCCCAGCGGAACGAGCUGUGUCCCCUGCUGUCAGGCCAAGUCAGCAAAAACUUUGCUCAGCAAGACUGUGAGACCUUGGAUCUUCUCAGAGUAGGAUGAGGGGUCAACUUGAGAAGACACGAGCGCUGUUCUGUGAAGACACUAUACUUCAUCGCCCAGGGGAGAGUGUCCAAGGAGAUUCUGGGAGCUUGAAGUAAACUUUAAAAAGCAAAGAAUUUCCUUUCUCCCCAGCCAAGCCCUGCUUCGAACUGCAACAUGAACAGCUUCAUAGCAGAGGGACUUGGGAGAGCUCUCAGUUGGGGCCUCAUGUAGGGCAGCCUCAAGACUUGUCCUGGCGAUGAUGCUGGGGUUGAUAUGGUCCAGUGAGAAGAGCAUCAGCUCUGGAGUUGGGCCUGGAUUCCAUUCCUGAUUCUGCUGCCUGUCAGCCCAGUGACCCUGGGCAAAGAACUCAACCCCUCUGAGCCCAUUUUUCCAUAUUUGCAAAAUGGACAGUAGUCCCUACUUCACAGGUUGUGGAGGGACCUGAAAGGACAAUAAAUCUCUAGCGUAUGGUUUGGAAGUUAA